rnacentral:rRNA from 1 species
GAUGAACGCUGGCGGCGUGCCUAAUACAUGCAAGUCGAGCGAACAGACGAGGAGCUUGCUCCUCUGACGUUAGCGGCGGACGGGUGAGUAACACGUGGAUAACCUACCUAUAAGACUGGGAUAACUUCGGGAAACCGGAGCUAAUACCGGAUAAUAUAUUGAACCGCAUGGUUCAAUAGUGAAAGACGGUUUUGCUGUCACUUAUAGAUGGAUCCGCGCCGCAUUAGCUAGUUGGUAAGGUAACGGCUUACCAAGGCGACGAUGCGUAGCCGACCUGAGAGGGUGAUCGGCCACACUGGAACUGAGACACGGUCCAGACUCCUACGGGAGGCAGCAGUAGGGAAUCUUCCGCAAAGGGCGAAAGCCUGACGGAGCAACGCCGCGUGAGUGAUGAAGGUCUUCGGAUCGUAAAACUCUGUUAUUAGGGAAGAACAAAUGUGUAAGUAACUAUGCACGUCUUGACGGUACUUAAUCAGAAAGCCACGGCUAACUACGUG